rfam:Rattus norvegicus chromosome 14, whole genome shotgun sequence.
GGGGAUUUAGCUCAGUGGUAGAGCGCUUGCCUAGCAAGCGUAAGAUCCUGGGUUCGGUCCCCAGCUCCA